UAAGCAUAUCAAUAAGCGGAGGAAAAGAAACCAACCGGGAUUGCCUCAGUAACGGCGAGUGAAGCGGCAAGAGCUCAAAUUUGAAAUCUGGCCCCUCCGGGGUCCGAGUUGUAAUUUGCAGAGGAUGCUUCGGGCGCAGCCCCCGUCUAAGUGCCCUGGAACGGGCCGUCAUAGAGGGUGAGAAUCCCGUCUGGGACGGGGUGUCUGUGUCCGUGUGAAGCUCCUUCGACGAGUCGAGUUGUUUGGGAAUGCAGCUCUAAAUGGGUGGUAAAUUUCAUCUAAAGCUAAAUACUGGCCGGAGACCGAUAGCGCACAAGUAGAGUGAUCGAAAGAUGAAAAGCACUUUGAAAAGAGAGUUAAACAGCACGUGAAAUUGUUGAAAGGGAAGCGCUUGCGACCAGACUCGCCCGCGGGGUUCAGCCGGCCUUUGGGCCGGUGUACUUCCCCGCGGACGGGCCAGCGUCGGUUUGGGCGGCCGGUCAAAGGCCCCGGGAAUGUAUCGCCCUCCGGGGCGUCUUAUAGCCCGGGGUGCAAUGCGGCCUGCCCGGACCGAGGAACGCGCUUCGGCACGGACGCUGGCAUAAUGGUCGUAAGCGACCCGUCUUGAAACACGGACCAAGGAGUCUAACAUCUACGCGAGUGUUCGGGUGUCAAACCCGUGCGCGGAGUGAAAGCGAACGGAGGUGGGAGCCCCUCGGGGCGCACCAUCGACCGAUCCUGAUGUCUUCGGAUGGAUUUGAGUAAGAGCGUAAAUGUGGGGACCCGAAAGAUGGUGAACUAUGCCUGAAUAGGGCGAAGCCAGAGGAAACUCUGGUGGAGGCUCGCAGCGGUUCUGACGUGCAAAUCGAUCGUCGAAUUUGGGUAUAGGGGCGAAAG
rnacentral:rRNA from 1 species